rnacentral:rRNA from 1 species
GCAUAUCAAUAAGCGGAGGAAAAGAAACCAACAGGGAUUGCCUCAGUAACGGCGAGUGAAGCGGCAACAGCUCAAAUUUGAAAUCUGGCGCAAGCCCGAGUUGUAAUUUGCAGAGGAUGCUUCAGGGCAGCGGCCGGUCUAAGUCUCCUGGAACGGGGCGUCAUAGAGGGUGAGAAUCCCGUAUGCGACCGGCUGGCACCCGUCACGUAGCUCCUUCGACGAGUCGAGUUGUUUGGGAAUGCAGCUCUAAAUGGGAGGUAAAUUUCUUCUUAAGCUAAAUACCGGCCAGAGACCGAUAGCGCACAAGUAGAGUGAUCGAAAGAUGAAAAGCACUUUGGAAAGAGAGUUAAAAAGCACGUGAAAUUGUUGAAAGGGAAGCGCAUGCAACCAGACUUGUCGGCGGGUGUUCCGCCGGUCUUCUGACCGGUUCACUCGCCGCCGGCAGGCCAGCAUCACUUGGGAGCGCCGGACAAAGGCGUCGGGAAUGUGGCCCUUCGGGGUGUUAUAGCCCGGCGCACAAUACGGCGCCUCCCGAGUGAGGUCCGCGCUUCGGCUAGGAUGCUGGCGUAAUGGUUGUUUGCGGCCCGUCUUGAAACACGGACCAAGGAGUCUAACAUCUAUGCGAGUGUUCGGGUGUCAAACCCCUACGCGUAAUGAAAGUGAACGGAGGUGGGGAACCGCAAGGUGCACCAUCGACCGAUCCUGAUGUCUUCGGAUGGAUUUGAGUAAGAGCAUAGCUGUUGGGACCCGAAAGAUGGUGAACUAUGCCUGAAUAGGGUGAAGCCAGAGGAAACUCUGGUGGAGGCUCGCAGCGGUUCUGACGUGCAAAUCGAUCGUCAAAUUUGGGUUAUAGGGGCGAAAGACUAAUCAAACCAUCUGGUAGCUGGGUUCCUCCCAAA